rnacentral:rRNA from 1 species
GACGAACGCUGGCGGCGUGCCUAAUACAUGCAAGUAGAACGCUGAAGGAGGAGCUUGCUUCUCCGGAUGAGUUGCGAACGGGUGAGUAACGCGUAGGUAACCUGCCUGGUAGCGGGGGAUAACUAUUGGAAACGAUAGCUAAUACCGCAUAAGAGUAGAUGUCGCAUGACAUUUGCUUAAAAGGUGCAACUGCACCACUACCAGAUGGACCUGCGUUGUAUUAGCUAGUUGGUGAGGUAACGGCUCACCAAGGCAACGAUACAUAGCCGACCUGAGAGGGUGAUCGGCCACACUGGGACUGAGACACGGCCCAGACUCCUACGGGAGGCAGCAGUAGGGAAUCUUCGGCAAUGGACGGAAGUCUGACCGAGCAACGCCGCGUGAAUGAAGAAGGUUUUCGGAUCGUAAAGCUCUGUUGUAAGAGAAGAACGAGUGUGAGAGUGGAAAGUUCACACUGUGACGGUAUCUUACCAGAAAGGGACGGCUAACUACGUG